GAUCAUGGCUCAGGAUGAACGCUAUCUACAGGCUUAACACAUGCAAGUCGAGGGGAAACGACAUCGAAAGCUUGCUUUUGAUGGGCGUCGACCGGCGCACGGGUGAGUAACGCGUAUCCAACCUGCCUACCACUUGGGGAGUAACCUUGCGAAAGUAAGACUAAUACCCAAUGACAUCCCACGAAGACAUCUGAAUGGGAUUAAAGAUUUAUCGGUGAUGGAUGGGGAUGCGUCUGAUUAG
rnacentral:rRNA from 1 species